ACCCAGCCUUCCACUUCCCCAGCCUCCGCUUCCUCGCCUACCCUCCGCUUCCCCAGUUUCCGCGCCGACCCUCUCCCUGCGCCCCCUCCCCGCCGCCCCUCUCUCCGCGCCGCCUCCAUCUCAUGCUCCGGCGCCCCUGCCCCUCCCCCCGCCUCUCGCGCACCUCCCUCUCUCUGCACCUGUCACCUGCCAUCCCCUCCCUUCUCCCUACUGUGCGUCACCGCCCCUCUGAUUCGGGCCGCCCCAACCAUCGCGCCCGGAUCCACGCCGCCGCCACUGCCCUCCCCCCGACCGGAGCUGCACCACCGGCCCCUGAAUCGCACCCCUGCGCUCCUCAACCUGGAGCGGUGCUCCGCCCCUGCCCUCCUCGACCUGGAGCAGCGCCGGUGCCCCUUCCAUCCCCCCCUCCGACCGAGCAGCGCCGCUGCCCCUGCCCUUCCCCCCGACCGGAGCAGUGCCGCUGCAAUCAGGAGCUAGUUCACCUUAUAUGACGAGGAUCAUAUAUAGUCUAGCCUUUUAUGGAGGAGGGGAAGAACCUGUACCUGGGAGCCAACAAUAAACUAUAUUCAAUGCCUUAUAUCAGGAACUAAGAGAGGUCUGGAACUGGAUCAAAAAGCCCCUGUUCCUGAUAAUCGACGAACCGGAAGAUGCUCCACUAUUAGAGGAGAACAAAGGAUAGAUCCUAUUUGUGAUUUAUGGUCUUAUAUUGCAUAGGUAAUUAAGGUAGUAAAUAUGUGGCUGAGUGCAGCAUCACCUGUGUACUUCUCCUGUAAGUUGUAUUUUCUAGUGCAAAUGAUUUUAUGGUUGAGUGGAUUGAUUUGUUUUCGCGAUAAAAUAGCUGAAUGGCUAUAGAAUAUUUGGAUGACUGAUUCUGUUAGGUCUUGUUGCGCUAUAUUUUGUGACGAAUCAAAUUGUCAUAAUGGGAUUGCCAUAUCA